ensembl:lncRNA
GGUUGAAUGACUUCUGUUAUUUUAAUGAUUUGUCUUGAAGCAAGAAAUCAGAUCUAAGCCAGUUCUAGAAAUUCAGCUUGUUAAAUGAAUUGAACUAAAGAAAAGGAGAGUAAAAAACAUUCCUAAACAAUGGAAUGAACGGGCCAAGCCAAGAGACAAUUUCAUUCCACGUCUCUGAGAAACAUGGGAAGCGUGCUUCUCUAGUCCAAGACUGUGAGGGCUGGAGUCAUCAUCCUCCUGUUCCCCUUCCUCACUUUUCCUCCUCAGCCCAGCCUGGGAUGAGGAGUCUGGGCUUUAUUUUCCACCAAGACACCUGAGGAAUCCAGGGGCCAGGCUGAGGCUGGUGACCCAGCGUGCAUCACAGUGUUCAAAGUGUGCAGCCCUCCUUCCGUCCUGCAGUCUCCAGUUACGGCCUGGGAGGGUCUUUGCCCCGUGGAGACGCUGAGACAGCGAAGACCGAGGCUGAUGUGUGGACGGGUCCUCGCUCAACCACGGACUCCCCUCUGCAGCUCAACAGAAGCAGACUCAGUUCCCUAUGUCCUGUAAACCCAGGCUCCUUCCUUUGAGUAUGUGGGAAGGAAUUCAAGGCCCUGAGGGAGCAAGUUUUCCUGCCAGUAUUCCAAAUUUUAUGGAGUAAAUCCACUCCCCCUCCCUUGGAAAAUUCUAGCAAACUAUCAUAUUUUGCACUAUGCAUACAUUUUCCAUAAAAGCAAAAAUUAAAUGGUGCUUCGGGAAACAGGGCCUUGGGGUGUCUUGCACAAUAGCCUAGAAGAGCUUAGAAGUUUCUUUCAUUAUACCUAGUCCUCAUCAAGCAGGAUUUAUUUUUACCAUGCCUAGCUCUCCACUCAAGUGGUCAGUACAAAUCCAGUUACAAAUGGCAAUAUUUCUUUGAAACAGUGACAAUGACAGAAUCUUAAGUUUCCAGUAUGCAAGGGGUGGUAAAUGGAAUAUAAUAUAAGGUAGUCUUUUUUUAAACCAAAUUAUAAUAUGUAAACUUUGGCCACCUAAUGAGAAGAGCCAGCUCAUUGGAAAAGACCCUGAUGCUGGGAAAGAUUGAAGUCAGGAGGAGAAGCGGGUGACGGAGGAUGAGAUGGUUGGAUGGCAUCAUAGACUCAAUGGACAUGAGUUUGAGCAAAAUCCGGGAGACAGUGAAGGAGAGGGAAGCCUGGCGUGCU